AGAGAGGUCGUCUUCCCCGAUAUCGAAACCAAAAAUUAGGGUUCAUAUCCUCUUCGAUCUACACCAGCUAUGGAGGAGAUUUGAUGAAUUGAGUGAGUCAAAUCGACGUGAAGAACCUCUGUGCCAAGCUUCAAUUGCGUCUUUUCUUCUUCUAUUAUAAUCCUCUGAAGCGUUACGUAACAACCUUCUUAAAUGCUUCCAUGAUUUCUGAUUCAUUUUGUAUCUCACUUUAUCCCUUUACCAAGCAAUGGAUCUCCACCUAUAAAAAGGUAAGGCCUCAUCUCUUAAGAAUCAUCCUUACAAAUCCAAUAUCAUUUGAUAUUUUUUUCAGUAUAAUAGCUAACUCCUCUGUUCUACUUGCUGAUCUGAGUUCUGGGUUGUUCUUCCAACGUGGAGGUGAGGUUGCUCAGAUUCUGGAAGUUGACAUGCUUCUCAUCGAUUCUAAGAGAAGCAUUGGAUAACCUUUAGUGGAAAAAUCCUUAACUAUCAGACCGCAGUGGCACAAUUGGUGGAACUCCUUGGAGAUGAGAAUGCUGCAGCUGAUUUACGAUGUUGGUUUGGGAAGCAAUAGCUAUCUUAAUAAUUAUUUCAUGUCUAAGCUUUACACCACUAGAAGACGGUACAUUCACGCACAAUAAGUUGUUGAUCUUAUCAAUGGGUACAACAACUAGCUCAAUUUAGAGAGAUUGAAAAGCAACCCAGACAGGUCACUAAGGAGAAGCAUGAGUCUGUGCGAGGCCAAGUAUUGAGAAGCCACAGGCAAAGAAGUGAGCAAAGGUCAGACUGAAAGCUGGCGAAAGAAGGACCUAUUACCACUGAAUCCGACAUCCAACACAUUGUCUUCACCUGGAGAUGAAUUCUGGUUGAGAAAUUCUGAUGAAUCUAGUUAGUCUUCCCAAGAUGAUGCGGAGACUUCAUAGAUGGAGUAUUGGCUAAGACGAAGCUGUCAAAAGCUAUUAUCCGGGCGAUCCAACGUCCAUGAAUGGGGCUCAAAAACCCAAACCACCCAAUCCAAUGUUAUGAAUUUUCAUUCUACUUGAUUUUGCAUAUAAGAAUCACACUUGGUUGUAUUCCAUAACAGAUUUGUAAACUACGCAUUUACAAAAGUAGUUAUCAGUUCU